GACGAACGCUGGCGGCGUGCUUAACACAUGCAAGUCGAACGGAAAGGCCCUGCUUUUGUGGGGUGCUCGAGUGGCGAACGGGUGAGUAACACGUGAGUAACCUGCCCUUGACUUUGGGAUAACUUCAGGAAACUGGGGCUAAUACCGGCUAGGAGCUCCUGCUGCAUGGUGGGGGUUGGAAAGUUUCGGCGGAUGGGGAUGGACUCGCGGCUUAUCAGCUUGUUGGUGGGGUAGUGGCUUACCAAGGCUUUGACGGGUAGCCGGCCUGAGAGGGUGACCGGCCACAUUGGGACUGAGAUACGGCCCAGACUCCUACGGGAGGCAGCAGUGGGGAAUAUUGCACAAUGGGCGGAAGCCUGAUGCAGCAACGCCGCGUGCGGGAUGACGGCCUUCGUGUUGUAAACCGCUUUCGCCUGUGACGAAGCGUGAGUGACGGUAAUGGGUAAAGAAGCACCGGCUAACUACGUG
rnacentral:rRNA from 1 species